UGGGGAAUCUUGCGCAAUGGGCGAAAGCCUGACGCAGCGACGCCGCGUGAGGGAUGACGGCCUUAGGGUUGUAAACCUCUUUCAGCUCUGACGAAGCCUUCGGGUGACGGUAGGGGCAGAAGAAGCACCGGCUAACUACGUGCCAGCAGCCGCGGUAAUACGUAGGGUGCGAGCGUUGUCCGGAAUUAUUGGGCGUAAAGAGCUCGUAGGCGGUCCGCCGCGUCGGUCGUGAAAUCUCGGGGCUCAACCCCGGGUCUGCGGUCGAUACGGGCGGACUUGAGUGCGGUAGGGGAGACCGGAAUUCCUGGUGUAGCGGUGGAAUGCGCAGAUAUCAGGAGGAACACCGAUGGCGAAGGCAGGUCUCUGGGCCGUUACUGACGCUGAGGAGCGAAAGCGUGGGGAGCGAACAGG
rnacentral:rRNA from 1 species